rnacentral:rRNA from 1 species
ACAUAUCAAUAAGCGGAGGAAAAGAAACCAACAGGGAUUGCCCCAGUAACGGCGAGUGAAGCGGCAACAGCUCAAAUUUGAAAUCUGGCCCCCCGGGUCCGAGUUGUAAUUUGUAGAGGAAGCUUUUGGUGAGGGGCCGCCCGAGUUCCCUGGAACGGGACGCCACAGAGGGUGAGAGCCCCGUCUGGGUGGCCACCGAGCCUCUGUAAAGCUCCUUCGACGAGUCGAGUAGUUUGGGAAUGCUGCUCAAAAUGGGAGGUAUAUGUCUUCUAAAGCUAAAUAUUGGCCAGAGACCGAUAGCGCACAAGUAGAGUGAUCGAAAGAUGAAAAGCACCUUGAAAAGAGGGUUAAAUAGUACGUGAAAUUGUUGAAAGGGAAGCGCUUGUGACCAGACUUGGGCGCGGCGGAUCAUCCGGGGUUCUCUCCGGUGCACUUCGCCGCGUUCAGGCCAGCAUCAGUUCGUCGCGGGGGAUAAAGGCUUCAGGAACGUGGCUCCUCCGGGAGUGUUAUAGCCCGUUGCAUAAUACCCUGCGGUGGACUGAGGACCGCGCAUCUGCAAGGAUGCUGGCGUAAUGGUCACCAGCGACCCGUCUUGAAAACACGGACCAAGGAGUCGUCUUCGUAUGCGAGUGUUCGGGUGUCAAACCCCUACGCGUAAUGAAAGUGAACGCAGGUGAGAGCUUCGGCGCAUCAUCGACCGAUCCUGAUGUUCUCGGAUGGAUUUGAGUAAGAGCAUACGGGGCCGGACCCGAAAGAAGGUGAACUAUGCCUGUAUAGGGUGAAGCCAGAGGAAACUCUGGUGGAGGCUCGCAGCGGUUCUGACGUGCAAAUCGAUCGUCAAAUAUGGGCAUGGGGGCGAAACUAUCGACUCUAGUAGCUGGUUCGC